CAUCACUACGCUAGAUGCAUAUCAAUAAGCGGAGGAAAAGAAACUAACAAGGAUUCCCUUAGUAACGGCGAGUGAAGCGGGAAGAGCUCAAAUUUGAAAUCUUCAAGGUUUUACCUUGACGAAUUGUAGUUUAAAGAAGUGUUUUCUGUUGGAGUUUUGGUAAAAGUUCUUUGGAAUAGGACAUCAUAGAGGGUGAGAAUCCCGUAUUUGACCAUUAUUUUCAGCUGUGUGAUACACUUUCAAAGAGUCGGAUUGUUUGGGAAUGCAGUCCAAAAUGGGUGGUAAAUUUCAUCUAAAGCUAAAUAUUGGCGAGAGACCGAUAGCGAACAAGUACCGUGAGGGAAAGAUGAAAAGAACUUUGAAAAGAGAGUUAAACAGUACGUGAAAUUGUCAAAAGGGAAGCGUUUGACACCAGUGUUGUUUUCUCGAAAAUCAAUUAAAAAAUGCCUGGAUUUUGUGUUGUAUUGACCUUAUAAGCUUUCUGCACUCUUUUCUUAUCUUUUUUAAUGCACUUUUCGUUUAACAAGUCAACAUCAAUUUCUUUUGUUGUAAAAGAGGUCAUUGGAAGGUGGCUUUUCUUUCGGAGAAAGUGUUUAUAGCCUUUGAUCUCUGCAAUCGGAGAGACUGAGGUCUGCAGCGUAGACUCUUCGGGGUUAGAUACAUUUGUGCUAAGCUAUAGCUUCUUUAUAGACAACUUGUUGACUAUAAUUAAUCUUGUGAACUUACUCGCUUAUGCUAUUUUACCUACGCUUAGGAUGUUGAUAUGCAUGACUGAUAU
rnacentral:rRNA from 1 species